rnacentral:siRNA from 1 species
CAUAUAAAUGUCAUAUCCAGU